rnacentral:rRNA from 1 species
CCCUGCCAUACACCACAAUCUCUAACCCUAUCCUCAUCCCCUUCCGUCUGCGGCGACAGCCGCCGCCAGGCCCUUCCCCCUCUGCGCUUAGCCGGCGUGACCCCAGCCAGAUUAGGCCCGCCAGCCGCCGCCAUGCUCCUUCCUCGCCCCUCUGCGCGCAGGGUAGACGGCGAGUGGCGGGAAGGGAAGUUGCCGCCGCGACCUCGGGCCGAUCCAAUCCAGAUCGGCCUGACGUAGGACGAGCUGGCGGCGCCGAGCCGCGACGGACGGUAGACCUCGAUGCCAGAAGAACGGGAGGCGCCAGGAGCCGGUGAAUAGGUCCGAGUCAAACAGAUCUGGCGCCGCUGACAAAAGCUGAAGGAUAGGUCUGAUUUCGCCAGAUCCGGCUUUACCUUUCUUUGUCUGACAUCUUUAUCUGGGAAAAGAAAGAGAUGACGAGCAGCUGCGAUAGGGACCACUAAUUGGAGACGGCGGAUCCACAGACCCCUCCCCUAAACGCUGCCGUUGAGGGCUGCGUCGAUAGUUUCGGUCUUCUUAUAUUUUUAAGAUGUCAUCUUUAAAGAAGAUGUGCUGUGCGGGUAUUACCGCAUGAUCUUUAGGUCGUUUUCUUUGUUUCUUUUUUUUUGUUUAGUGUUUGAAUCAGUAACAACAAAAUAUGUAAAUACGUUAACUUGUGGUAAGAGAUUAACAUUGUUGGUUCUUUAAAUAAUAUAUAUUUUUUUGUCUUCUAAAAUUUGGGUGUACAUAUCUCCAAUUUUAUUAUGAAUCUACAAAAGUAUUACUUACAGUAACAUAUGUUUUUUUUUUGUUAUGAUCUAUAUAGUGUUAUCUUGUCAAUGGAUUUAUUUUACCUUUGAUGUAAUCCAAUGCGAACAUGAAAAUAUAGUGAAAUAGCAAAGUUUGUACAUUACUAUUUCUUAUCUUCUUUUAAUAUAGUACUAAACAAAUGUAAGAAGUUAUUUGCGGUUUAAAUUAAAUAGCAAAAAUGUCUUACAUUUGUGUACAGAGUUAGUACUAAUAAAACACGUACUCCCUCUGUAAAGAAAUACAAGAGAUUUUCCUUACGGAGGGAGGACAUAUUUUUAACUUUUGUGCUAAUUGAUUAAUAUUGUUGGUUUUGUAAAUAAUAAUUGUUGUCUUCUAAUAUGAUGGUGUAGAUAAUUCUAAUUUUCAGUUAUGAUCUAUAGGGUUCUAUUUUGUUGUUGAGUUUUAUAUUAACUCUGAUAUACUCCAAUGACAUUAUGGAAAUACAGUACAUAUUUUUUUAUUAUGAUCUACAGAGUGCUAUUUUGUUGGUGGAUUUGUAUUAACUUUGAUGUAAUCUAGUGACAAAUGGAAAUACAGUCACAUAGCAUCUAUAGGUUAUUAUUUUCUUAUCGUAUUUGAAUCUAGUAACAACAAAAUAUGUAAACUUUUGUGGUAAGGGAUUCAGAUUGUUGGUUUUUAAAUGAUACUAUAACCUUUUUUGUGCUAUUUUUUGGUGGAUUUGUAUUCACUAUGAUGAAAUUUAAUGACAACAUGGAAAUACAGAAUGAUAACAUGGAAAUGCAGUGACAUAACAUUGUCUGCUAUAUCUUACAAGUUCUGACACACACACACACACACACACAUAUAUUACAUUCUUUUGGAAAAUAUAUAUUCUACAUCAUUAUUUCUUAGACUUUGUAGAUGGUUCUAGUUUUCUAAUGUAAUUUUUUAUUUCGUUCAUAAUUUUGUAUUCACUUAACUAGAAGUGAUGAAAAAUUUGUUAAGUUUGUCAUGUUAAAAAUUUGUUAAUUUGUGUUGUUUUAAUUUGAUAACACAAUCUGUUGGUGACAGCUCCAUUGUUUUAUUUGUGUAAAUAUAUGGGUGUUUUAUACAUUUCUUUUUUGACAUAGCAUAGUUAUGCGUCUUUGUUGCAGCAAGUUUUAAUAAAGAUACAUAUUUUAACUUCUGUUAAAGAAUUAAGAUCUUUGUGUUCUUUUGAUGAUAUAGAUUGUUGUGCUCUUCUCUUCUAGUAUGAUGCAUGUCAUGUCAUAAUAUGAUGACAAGUUAUGGUCUUAUAUUUGUUGCACCAAGAUUUAAUAAAUAACAGUAUAUCUUUCCGUGUCGACAAUUAUGGCUUUUUAUUGUAGUUUUUAAAUGUGAUGGCAUACUUAGUGGAAUGUACAUGUUUUUGAGAUAUGUUUGGUUGUUCCUUGAGAUAGAUCAUUUGUCGUCCUCUUGCAUGCUAUGUGUGGUCUAUAUCUUGCAGCUGAAUAGAGAUCUUCAUAUGAGAAUUAGCCUUUCAAAUAUGUACAUGUCCAGGAUUAUUAUGGCAUACUUAGUGGAAUGCAUUGUUGCCAACGUAUCCACUGGUAAAAGAGUUGACUUGUUAUAAAAAUCCAAAUGAAUUACAAUUGUGGAGACCUUAAAUAUUAUCUGCUAUGUAAUGCAUAGAGAUCUUGAAUGGGCCCACUUAUCAAGGUACCUGAUGUGUUUUGGCAAACAGAUCAUCACCACUAACUUGAAUAUUUCUGAGGUUGUAUUGGAGUAAAAGAGACUUUUAUUUGUUAUAGAUAAUUCAUUAUCAGUUCUUUUCUCAUUUUUUUACCCCAGUGCUACCAACAGCAGGUGAUAUGGAGUUUGAGUGUUCCAGUUCACAACUCAGCAGUAGAUUCUAUAGUAAUGUAAGUGAAAAUGAACCUAUAUGUAGAGGCAUCAUGUUGUUUGCUCCAGUCACAAGGUCACUUUCAUUCUUUAGUAGUUUUGUUUCUGGUGAAGUGAUGGUCUAAAAAGACUCUGAUUGUUGUAUAAACAUUGAGUCGCUGUUACUAAUGCAGUGCCACAUGCCAAAAUUCAUUUCAUGUUAAUAAUAAGUAUGACUUUCCUCUAAAUGUUAUUAUAUCAUUUGGCACAGAUCAGGCUGCAACUCAUGAGUCAUUGGGUCAAGACUGCCUGAAGACGAGUUUGCUGCCAAAGUAAAAACAUUGAGAUGCCAAAAUACCUGUUAGUUUAGUUCGUUUGAAACCAGGCACCAAAGAGUUACAAAAGAACCAUUUUCAGGUAGUCUCACUUAAUAACAACUUUCAUUACCAUCAAGAGCUAAUCCAUGAUACUGUCUGUAUUUCAGGGUGUUAGAACAUCGAUGGAUUUUGUACACUCAAGAGGAGGCUUGGGGUUUUCAUUCGUGCAUCACCAGAAAUUUACAUCCAACAUCAUAGGGAAUAUCUUGGAUUGUCACUUGCAUUGGGGAAGCAAAGGACUGGAUGAAGUUUUUCUCAAAACAAAGUACACAAUGGGCGUGGAGGAUGUGUGUGGGCAUGGCAAACCUGAGAAGUGGUUAUUUUCCUGUGAGAACAGCCUAUCACUUGCUAGUUCAGAAAUGGUGGUCAGUUGAGGUUGCUUCAGGUUCAGGACGUGAGGAAAGUCCUAGUUGAAAAAGCUGUGGCGCUUUCCUGUGCAGCCCAGAGCAAUCCUCCGAAAUAGGCAUAUUGAAAGAAUUGGUUUUUGUGGACGUGGGGAAACCAUAUAUCAUGCCCUGUUUGAAUGUACAUGGGCAAAAUUAUUUUGGAAGGAAAUCAGAUAUGUUGCUGCAUUCAAGGUACCCGAGCUACACCCUCACUCUUGUGCUCACUCUUGGGCUAUUUGGUCACUGAGGGAUGCUAGAAAUCAUGGAGGAAGGAGCGGACAGUAGUGCACUCUGUCAAAUGGUUGUUGGAUGUGGCUUGGGAUUUAUCAUUAACGGAAGAGAAAGAAACGAUGUUAAGCACCAUUGGAAGCCACCCGAUGCAAGUACUAUCAAAAUCAGUGUUGCCUUCUCUAAUGCAAAUCACCAAUUAGGUACAGGUCUUGUAUCUGCUGUCAUGAGGGGAAGCUGAUAUGGGCACAAGCAUUGUGGUACAAUGUAGCUGCUAGUGCACCGACACUAAAAACUCUUGCAAUCAGCUGCAUAUCUACUGCAUUUUGCUCGGCUGCUGCAAAUUAUAUAGAUAUCAUUAGCUGCAUAUCUGAAACCGACCACUCACUACAGUCAAUUUGCCAUGUCAAUGUCAACGUCAGAUGGUGUAAAUAUGCUAUGCAUCACAUCAUGGUUAUUUCAUAAAUCUGAUACAUGCUUGCAUUCCGGCUCCUACUUUUUUUGUUAUAAUAAAUGGCCUAUCUUAUGGGCACUUCCAAAGCAAUAGAGGUAUAAGUUAAGGUUGCCCUCUUUCUCCCUACUUGUUUGUGCUUGCUAUAAACGAACUUUCUAUUUCUCUUCAAUAGUAAAUGUGUUGAAAUCAUUUGGAAGGGAUAUCUUUAGGGCCAGGCUGUCCACCCAUUUCACUCCCUAAUGUUUGCUGAUGAUCUUCUUCUCUGUGGUAAGGCUACUGCUACCGAAGCCAUUCACAUGUACAAUAUAUUGCAGAGUUAUUUUCAGCUUUCAGGCCAGACCCCCAAUUGGAGCAAAUCAGGUAAGAUCUUUAGCCAAAAUGUCGAUAGAAACACUAAAGAUGGCAUUAGAAACAUUUUUCAGGUGAUAGAUAUAGAUAAAAACUCAGUAUAUCUAGGACACCCUUUGAUUCUUCCAACUAAGGACAAAUCAGCUGCGUACGAUUUUGUAGCAGUAAAAUUAAGCAAUAAACUUACAGGUUACAAGGCAAACAAACUCUCUCAUGCCGGAAGGCUUACCCACAUUAAUCCUGUUUUUUUCUUCUAUUCUUGUAUAUCAUAUGUCUAACAUCCUUUUUUCAAGGAAGUUGAUUGCAGAACUUACAGCUAUCAUAAGGAACUUCUGGUGGACAAGAAUUAAUGAAGAGCCUACAACUAAAACUCUCUAUCUCUGGGCAUGGAAGGACAUAUGCAUACCAAAAUGUGAGGAUGGCUUAGGAAUCAGAAACAUUCAAGCAAUGAACAGGGGUCUCAUUCUAUCAGGAGCUUGGAGAAUUGCAGAUAUGAUCCAGAAAGUUUCCUUUCUAAAGUCCUAACAUCCAAAUAUUAUCCCAACACUUAUUUAUUGAGAGCCAGCACUAAAACCCCAAAAUCUGCAUUUUGGUCUUCCAUUAUAAAAUUACGUCAUAUUUUGAUUUCCAACUCUUCCAUACAUAUUUUAGAUGGAAAUUCAUCAAUUUGGAGCACACCCUGGUUUCCCCUUUUGCAAUCCAUCUACGACCACCUCAUAAUGCAACCAAGUCACUUUAAAUAUCCGUCUCAAGUGACAGAUCUGUGGACUCCUAAUAAAAAAUCAUGGAAAGCUAAUCUCAUCAUAUAUAAUCUUUUUGAUCAACAAACAGCUGACUGUAUAAUGCAGGUACUCGUAAUCAACCAAGAAGUAUAAGAUAUUCUAUGCUGGAAGCUACACCCAACAGGAAAAUGUUCGUCUAAAAGUGCUUAUAGAGCAUGCUUACGGGACAUGCAGCAGCAGGGGAACCCCACUCCUAGGCAGGUCCCAGAGGAAACAAAGCAACUUCUGAAGCAAGUAGAGAAGGAACAGACAAUGACACCUAGGGUGCAAACAUUUGCGUGGAGACUAUUAACGAAAGCAGUCCCACCAGGUAUGAUAGCAAUUAAGUUCUCCUCCUCACAUUAACAAACAUUGUACUCGAUGCAAUCUACAGGAAAAUGACAUGCACGUUUUGUAGCCCACUUGCUAAAGCUGCCUGUUUUUUAGACCCAUGGUACGUGAACACUGAAAUUCUCGUUCAACACUAUGAAUCUAUCCCUGCAAUUGUCAACGCAAUUCUCCAUUCCAAUCAUCCACAUGCAUCAAUUACAAACAUUAUGACUUCUUUAUGGUGUAUUUAGAAGUCCAGAAAUGAUAGUCUGUUUGGCAGGAAAGCUAAUACUAUGCAACACAUCCAUCAGGCAAUGCAGGCAAUUAUAAGAAAGAUCCUAUAAGCUAUAUACAGAAAGUGCAGGAGCUUCUUCAGUUCUUAAUUAACAAAGUCAGGACCAAGUCAAACAUGGGGAAGACCAACAGGAACCAGAAUUUGCUAUCAAUGUACAUACAGGUUUUGCAGGUCGAUUAGAGGAAUUGGUAUUCACAUGCAGACAUCAUGGUAACAUUGUAUUGCUGUAUAGAGCAGUUUACUCUUUGGCAGUUAGCUAGGCCCAUGUUAGUUGUGCUGUAGUCGAGUUGGGUAAACUAGGAUCAUAAUAAUUGUACUUUGCACGAGUUUGAUGGAGGAAGAAUCAGUACCGCCUUUAGCUUUUCCUUCCUGAUCUCCUUUUUCUUGUCAGCACGAACCUCCUUUGCCUUCGUGUUACAACUAUGUUCGGCCC